CACCGCGGUAAUUCCAGCUCCAAUAGCGUAUAUUAAAGUUGUUGCAGUUAAAAAGCUCGUAGUUGAAUUUCGGGAUCAAGGGAUCGGUCAUGCCUUGGUAUGUACUGGUUUCAUUGGUUCUCACCUUCUAAAGAACCAUGAUGUCAUUCAUUUGAUGUUAUGGGGAAUUAGGACUGUUACCUUGAAAAAAUUAGAGUGUUUAAAGCAAGCUUACGCUUGAAUACAUUAGCAUGGAAUAAUGAAAUAGGACAUCAGAUUCUAUUUUGUUGGUUUCUAGGAUCGAUGUAAUGAUUAAUAGGGAUAGUUGGGGGCAUUAGUAUUCAAUUGUCAGAGGUGAAAUUCUUGGAUUUAUUGAAGACUAACUACUGCGAAAGCAUUUGCCAAGGAUGUUUUCAUUAAUCAAGAACGAAAGUUAGGGGAUCGAAGACGAUCAGAUACCGUCGUAGUCUUAACCAUAAACUAUGCCGACUAGGGAUCGGAUGAUGUUAAUUUUUUAAUGACUCAUUCGGCACCUUACG
rnacentral:rRNA from 1 species